ACAAAUUGCCUAGUCAGUUGUAUGCGUCACUCUCUCUCUCUCUCUCUCUCUGUGUGUGUGUGUGUGUGAGAGAGAGAGAGAGAGAGAGAAGUGUGCUGCACACUAAAUCAAUCUA